UACGGGGGGAGCAAGCGUUGUUCGGAUUUACUGGGCGUAAAGGGCGCGUAGGCGGCCACCGCAAGUCGACUGUGAAAUCUCCGGGCUUAACUCGGAAAGGUCAGCCGAUGCUGCGGGGCUAGAGUGCAGAAGGGGCAACUGGAAUUCUCGGUGUAGCGGUGAAAUGCGUAGAUAUCGAGAGGAACACCUGCGGCGAAGGCGGGUUGCUGGGCUGACACUGACGCUGAGGCGCGAAAGCUAGGGGAGCGAACGGG
rnacentral:rRNA from 1 species